rnacentral:tRNA from 1 species
AAAUCGGUAGACGCUACGGACUUAAUUGGAUUGAGCCUUGGUAUGGAAAAUCCGUCGACUUUAGAAAUCGUGAGC